UAGGAUUCAAUCCUUGCUGCU
rnacentral:miRNA from 2 species